AAUAUCAUUUGGCGUAAAAAUUGGCUUAGGGUUGAGAUGGUCUAAAGGCCCCUCAUAUACACGUCUAGCUCCGCACAAAAUCCCUCGGCUCUUCAAAGUUUCUCGGUUCUGUACUUUUCUUCCUUGCUGAAGAAUCAGUCUUUGAGAGUAAGUAAUUCAGAAUGAGUGGAACAAGAGAGAAUUGAUCAGCAACCACCAAGACUCCAGCAGAUUUUCUGAAGUCUAUUCAUGGACGACCUGUUGUUAAAUUGAACUCAAGUGUUGACUAUCGAGUUUUGUAUACUGAAUGUGAGCUUGUGUAUUAAAGAGUUCAACGUCAGUCAUAUAUCAGCAAUGCCUCACAGAACUCGGCCUAUGGCAGCUCUUCUACUGUUUACUGGACUUAAUGUUGUUUUGGUCUCAACAAUAACUCCUGUCUAUGAUUUCGUAUGCUUCCAUCCAUAUUGGGAAAGAAGAAGAGAGCGUCGGCGUCAGGAACGUGAAGCAGCUUUAAGAGGUUCAGCAGCUGCUUAGUGUGAUAUCAGGGUUGGAAAUUCUAUCUAGCAUACUCCCUCCGUUACAAUUUAUGUGAACCUAUUUCCUUUUUAGUCCGUGCUAAAAAGAAUGACCACUUUCCCUAUUUGGAAACAAUUUACCUUUAUACAAUGAUUUAUAGCCACACAAAAUAUAUGUGCCUCAUUUUACACCACAAGUUUAAAAGUCUUCUCUCUUUUCUUAAAUUCCGUGCCCAAUCAAAUGAGUUCACAUAAAUUGAAACAGAGGGAGUAUUAUUUAAUUUAGCCUUGUCUCGAGAGAAAAUCAACUUAAUUAAAAAAUAUGAAAGAAAUUGGAGCCAUACACGAUUGUACAACAUGUUUUUGUUGGUUCCAUGGUAAAUAUGGAGUCACAAUCUGAAGUUGAGCAAAGUGCUGUGCAUGGCUUACACUAGAAAUGGAAGAAAGAAAAAAGAAGAUAAUGCUUCUUACCAUGCAUGCCUGCUAUUUUUGAAAAGCCUUGUGACAGAAGUUAUUUAGAAGCUUAGAGCAUAGUGCUAGAACGUUUUCAAAGUUGAUUAGUGUUCUUUUGCUUUGUAUGAUGUAAGAUUAUUGAUAACUUAACGAUACUUGCUAAUCUUACAAGCCAUCGGAUGGUUUUAAUUC